rnacentral:rRNA from 1 species
ACACAUGCAAGUCGCACGGUCAGCAAUGGCAGUGGCGGACGGGUGAGUAACAUGUAGGAAUCUAUCCCAGGGUGGGGGACAACAGCGGGAAACUGCUGCUAAUACCGCAUGAUACCUGAGGGUCAAAGGCGCAAGUCGCCUUGGGAGGAGCCUGCGUCUGAUUAGCUAGUUGGUGGGGUAAAGGCCUACCAAGGCGACGAUCAGUAGCUGGUCUGAGAGGAUGAUCAGCCACAUUGGGACUGAGACACGGCCCAAACUCCUACGGGAGGCAGCAGUGGGGAAUAUUGGACAAUGGGGGAAACCCUGAUCCAGCAAUGCCGCGUGUGUGAAGAAGGUCUUCGGAUUGUAAAGCACUUUUGGCAGGGACGAUGAUGACGGUACCUGCAGAAUAAGCCCCGGCUAACUUCGUGCCAGCAGCCGCGGUAAUACGAAGGGGGCUAGCGUUGCUCGGAAUGACUGGGCGUAAAGGGCGCGUAGGCGGCAUGUACAGUCAGAAGUGAAAUUCCUGGGCUCAACCUGGGGACUGCUUUUGAUACGUGCAAGCUAGAGUGAGGAAGAGGGUUGUGGAAUUUCCAGUGUAGAGGUGAAAUUCGUAGAUAUUGGAAAGAACACCGGUGGCGAAGGCGGCAACCUGGUCCUUUACUGACGCUGAGGCGCGAAAGCGUGGGGAGCAAACAGGAUUAGAUACCCUGGUAGUCCACGCUGUAAACGAUGUGUGCUGGAUGUUGGGAAACUUAGUUUUUCAGUGUCGUAGCUAACGCGAUAAGCACACCGCCUGGGGAGUACGGCCGCAAGGUUGAGACUCAAAGGAAUUGACGGGGGCCCGCACAGCGGUGGAGCAUGUGGUUUAA